GACGUAGGGGGCAAGCGUUGUCCGGAAUCAUUGGGCGUAAAGCGCUCGUAGGUGGAUCGGUAAGUCUGCAAAGAAAGACCCGGGCUCAACUCGGGGAACGGUGUGGAUACUACCGAUCUUGAGGCAAUCAGAGGAUGAUGGAAUUCCCGGUGUAGCGGUGAAAUGCGUAGAUAUCAGGAGGAAUACCGAUGGCGAAGGCAGGUCUCUGGGCUGACACUGACGCUCAUGCACGAAAGCGUGGGGAGCAAACAGG
rnacentral:rRNA from 1 species